GGAACAGAGCUGAACUCUAGAGAAAUCCAUCUCUGUUUCAGGGGUCUGAGUCCUUUCAAAAAGGCUGCACCAUUUCAGGCACAGCCCCCGCCCCCCUGCAGAUGGGAAUUCAUUUGCUAAAAGGAGAGUUGGCAGCAGAGACCAUCCUGAGCUCUAUGGGCUGUGUCUCUUCAGGAGACAGGAUUAUUGCAAACACUCCCUUUGUGCUAAGAUAUUUAAACAGUCUUCCCGGCAAUGUUAAAAAUGUAAGGUGUACAUGAUUAUGAAAUAUAACUAUACAAUGACUUUCACAUUUAGAAAGCAACAGGACGCUUUCCAGCUGCAGCCACCACGCUGGCAGAGUAUGACAUCACUCAGCAUUUAUUUCUGGAGACAGAAUUUUGCUCCUUCCUUGCUCCCUCUACAAAGCUUUCCCCUCCACACUUGACAAGCUCUGCUGCUUAAGUACCACCAUUACCUGUUAGUUACUCAAACUCACUGAGAAGUCCAAACCGUGAAUCCAGGCCAGUACUCUGGAGAAAAUCUUCCUUUUGCCUUCAUGGGGAUGAGAUACAUCCACAGGUAUCCCAUGCACCUGUAGUACUGUUUGGCUCUACCUUUGUGUAGGGUGGGCUGUCAUAUCAGUCCAGGCUUCCUGGCUAGACCCAGAUGAUAUCUAAAAACAGACGAAAGGUGUCAUUUAGACCAAAAUCUCCAGGACAGUUUUGCUGAAGAUAGGAGACAAAUUCUCAACAUGAAUGCAUCAGACACCUGCCAACUUUCUGAGUGAGCGGGUCAUAAAGCAAGCACAACUUAGAGAAGUGGAGGUGUAUAUGACAUCUGAAUGAGAGGUGAAAGAUAAAAACAACUUUUUACGUGUGUGGCUGGGAAACAGCUGAAUAAAACAAAGUCAGCAUGAAGGCCAGCAUGGUUUGCUGCCCAACAAAAUGCAAAGCCACGUUGGGUGGAGUGAAGCAAAUAGUCUCUCUGAUUUUCAGAGCUGGAAGAGAAGCCAACAGAAGGAAAGGAAGGUGAGCUGGGAGCAGCAGCUGCUGGAUUCUGUCAAGCUCUUCCAGAUGAGGAAGGCUGUGAGAAGAUGUGAGACCAUAAUAAGAGUGCACUGUGAUGUGUUUUCUUUUGGUUAAAAUGUAGAGGAACAGCAAUGUAAUUCUGUGGAUAAAAAAUUCAACCAGAGCAACACAGUCUGGCCCUGCUGCAUCCUUUUCUUUGCUGUCAUGGGUAACAAAUGCUCUGUUCAAAGUGACCAGAAGACAUCCAUCCACUUAUGCCCCCAUCUACCAACAUCCAACACUUAAGAAAACAAGGAAACUGGGAGCCUAGAAUGAAAUCUUCCUCAUCAGUUGGAAGUCUCAGGCAAUUUAUCCUCUCAGGAGCCAAAGAGCAAUCUCUCUGCUGCUCAGCCUGCUAGUUGGCUGUGGUUGCAUUUCUCAUAGAUCCCUCUUUAUUCUUGCUUUCUACUGCUGAAGUCUUGUUGCCUCUCAUGAUUGAGUUACCUGUCUGUUAUUUUGGACUCAGUUGUAGUGUAUUCUCCAUGAUUUUUUUUUUUUCAUCUAGACCUGCCUGUGUGUGUGUGUUUGCCUCGUUCCUUGCCUGAUGGACUUCGAAUGUCCCUGAGCAUCGGACUAUCUUCGGGCCAUCCUUGUUGCUCAGACUCCCAGCCUCAGCUCCACCUUGGUCAAGGUACUGCGCUCCCCCCUGGGUUAGAAAGUUCUCACUUAGCUGUAGUCCCUGGCCUUUUUUCACUGUGACUCCCUGACAAUGAUCCUUAGUGCAAAACACCAAAAUAGGUCAACACAGAACAAGAGAGAAAUGAGGGGCACCUACAGUAAUUAGGAAUUAGAUGAAAGGCCCCUGUGAUCCAAGGAGACACAUUCCCAUCUUCCUUCGAACUGUCACUUCUGGCAAACAGUUUGUGCAAGUACGUGCUACCAGCCAAAAACCUGAGCAUUUUUCCGUGUCAUCCUGUGCUUGUCAAUGCAAUACGUGUGCUUUGAAUGUUAUGAUUAUUUAUUAUUAAACUAAGAAAAA